rnacentral:rRNA from 1 species
GACGAACGCUGGCGGCGUGCCUAAUACAUGCAAGUUGAGCGCUGAAGGUUGGUACUUGUACCCACUGGAUGAGCAGCGAACGGGUGAGUAACGCGUGGGGAAUCUGCCUUUGAGCGGGGGACAACAUUUGGAAACGAAUGCUAAUACCGCAUAAAAACUUUAAACACAAGUUUUAAGUUUGAAAGAUGCAAUUGCAUCACUCAAAGAUGAUCCCGCGUUGUAUUAGCUAGUUGGUGAGGUAAAGGCUCACCAAGGCGAUGAUACAUAGCCGACCUGAGAGGGUGAUCGGCCACAUUGGGACUGAGACACGGCCCAAACUCCUACGGGAGGCAGCAGUAGGGAAUCUUCGGCAAUGGACGAAAGUCUGACCGAGCAACGCCGCGUGAGUGAAGAAGGUUUCCGGAUCGUAAAACUCUGUUGGUAGAGAAGAACGUUGGUGAGAGUGGAAAGCUCAUCAAGUGACGGUAACUACCCAGAAAGGGACGGCUAACUACGUG